rnacentral:rRNA from 1 species
AAAUCCGGUUAAUAUUCCGGAACUGAGAAACAGUGCUGUGGAGUGACGCAAUAGGGUAGGCAGGACGGCCGAUGGAUGCCGUUGAAGUAAACAGCCCGUCGCUUUGGUAAAUCCGGGCGGCACUAGGGUAAAUAAACAGACGAAAGUACGGAACUUCGGUUCCGGAACAAGCUGCUGACCCCAAUUGCCAAGAAAAGCUUCGUUCAGCUUAACUGUUAAUCAACAGUACCGCAAACCGACACAGGUAGGUGGGAUGAGAAUUCUAAGGUGCUUGUGAGAACCCUCGUUCAGGAACUCGGCAAAAUGUAUCCGUAACUUCGGGAGAAGGAUAGCCGUGUUCACCAAGAACACGGUCGCAGAGAAAUGUUUCAGGCGACUGUUUAACAAAAACACAGGUCUCCGCAAAGUUGUAAAGACAACGUAUGGGGGCUGACGCCUGCCCAAUGCUGGAAGGUUAAGA